rnacentral:rRNA from 1 species
AGCAGCCGCGGUAAUUCCAGCUCCAAUAGCGUAUAUUAAAGUUGUUGCAGUUAAAAGCUCGUAGUUGAAUUUCGGGAUUAGUACGCUGGUCGUGCCUUUGGUAUGUACUGGUGUUACUGAUUCCUACCUUCUGACGAACCGUCAUGUCAUUAAUUUGGUGUGGCGGGGAAUCAGGACUGUUACUUUGAAAAAUUAGAGUGUUUAAAGCAGGCUCGCGCUUGAAUACAUUAGCAUGGAAUAAUGAAAUAGGACGUUCGAUCCUAUUUUGUUGGUUUCUAGGAUUGACGUAAUGAUUAAUAGGGAUAGUUGGGGGCAUUAGUAUUCAAUUGUCAGAGGUGAAAUUCUUGGAUUUAUUGAAGACUAACUACUGCGAAAGCAUUUGCCAAGGAUGUUUUCAUUAAUCAAGAACGAAAGUUAAGGGAUCGAAGACGAUCAGAUACCGUCGUAGUC